AAAAAAAGAGCCUCUAAAGGAAAAGUUUGGAGUUUGCUUUAAACUGAUUUACCUUGUUGAAGAAGAUUUGUCUCGUCCUCUUCGCUUGUGCAACUCGUGAAGCUGAAAGUGUACGAGAUUCUGACAGGGUUCUGUCGCUUGUCGAGCAAAAACCUGGAUUCACAAUUUUUCACAGAACUUGACAAAUACACCCCUCACUUCUUUGAGAUUUUCAAGAGCAAAGGGGAAGUGUUGGCCAGAAACUUCAAAUUUAUCUGCAACAAGUCAGACCCGAGAGUACGGAUAUUACUCCGACGCAAACGGCAGUGCUCCGUGGCCUUCCUGUGAUCCUUGGAGAUGGGAACACAGACUUCAAGACAUGAUUUGACUGCGAGGACCCAGACGUUUCUCACACCCCCAUUGGGAUCCUGACCAUCAUUCCUGAGGACAGGCAGGCCUCCCCUGACUCACUGCACCUUGAGUCUUUAUCCAUCUAUUUUGGAAGGAAAUCUUGUCAUGAAUGACCUUGGAAAUCUUCCACAUGCUAUGUGCUUGCUGUUUGAACUUAUUUAUGCUUUGAAUUUGGAGUACACUCAACAAGUACACCUUUGAUUUCAUCCAAAGGGUGUUUCUCUCACUUGGACAUAAAUCCCUAAAACCAAAAAUACAAUCACUCAAAAAUCUUCUGAUGCAUUGACUGAAUGUGAUGUGACAUUAUGGAUCAACGUUGAUACCUUUACCCUUAUUGGAAAAGUGAUUUUUAUUUCUCUAUUGAUUCUUUUUUAAUUGUUUUGAUUCGUUUUGAAGACUGAGGGCCAUUUGAAGGAUUCAAUAUUGGAUUGAAGGCUGCCCUAGAAAAAAAGUUUAUGGAAAACUUUGUUUCCAGGUUAGUGUGUCUGUAACCACACUCGAGAAUCCUGUAUUUAAGGUAAACUUGUUU